UAUAGUGGGUUUUUGUGGAGAUAGGAGGAGAAUGAAUAUGAAGAAGCACUAUUCUUCUUCUUCUUAUGGGAUUUCCAACGGUGGACAGAGAAUCAACGCUUGGAUUGACUCCAUGAAAGCUUCUUCUCCCACUCACGCCAAAUCUACUACCUCUCUUGCUGAAGAACACAGCUCAUGGAUGGUAUUUUGAUAUAGAGGGUUUUUGGGGAGAUAGGAGGAGAAUGGAUGUGAAGAAGUACUCUUCUUCUUCUUCUUUUGGGAUUUCCAACGAUGGACAGAGAAUCAACGCUUGAAUUGAGUCCAUGAGAGCUUCUUCUCCCACUCACGCCAAAUCCACUACCUCUCUUGCUGAAGAACACAGCUCAUGGAUGGUAUUUUGAUAUAGAGGAUUUUUGGGGAGAUAGGAGGAGAAUGGAUGUGAAGAAGCACCCUUCUUCUUCUUCUGGGAUUUCCAACGGUGGACAGAGAAUCAACACUUGGAUUGACUCCAUGAGAGCUUCUUCUC